AGCUUUUGGGAAUUCAGGUAGU
rnacentral:miRNA from 1 species